rnacentral:rRNA from 1 species
AAAGGUGUGACGCGGAGCGAACAAAAGUAGCAAAGUUGGCGAUUCCGGCUGUCGAGAAAAGCCGCUAUUGUGUGAUACAUGCCCGUACCGUAAACCGACACAGGUGGAUGAGGAGAGAAUCCUAAGGCCGGCGGGAGAAGCAUUGUUAAGGAACUCGGCAAAAUGACCCUGUAACUUCGGGAUAAAGGGUGCCUGCGCAAGCAGGCCGCAGAGAAUAGGCUCAAGCAACUGUUUAGCAAAAACACAGGUCUAUGCAAAACCGAAAGGUGAGGUAUAUGGGCUGACGCCUGCCCGGUGCUGGAAGGUUACGAGGAGAGGUUAGCGCAAGCGAAGCUUUGAAUCCAAGCCCCAGUAAACGGCGGCCGUAACUAUAACGGUCCUAAGGUAGCGAAAUUCCUUGUCGGGUAAGUUCCGACCCGCACGAAAGGCGUAAUGAUUUGAGCGCUGUCUCGACAAUGCACCCGGUGAAAUUGAAGUACCAGUGAAGAUGCUGGUUACCUGCGCCAGGACGGAAAGACCCCAUGGAGCUUUACUCCAGUUUGAUACUGGGAUUCGGUAAUGCAUGUACAGGAUAGGUGGGAGGCUGAGAAAGGAGAACGCCAGUUUUCCUGGAGCCGAUGUUGGGAUACCACCCUUGCGUUACUGGGUUUCUAACCUGCAGCCGUGACCCGGCUGGGGGGCAAUGUCAGACGGGGAGUUUGACUGGGGCGGUCGCCUCCGAAAGGGUAUCGGAGGCGCUCAAAGGUUCCCUCAGGAUGGUUGGAAACCAUCCAAAGAGUGCAAAGGCAGAAGGGAGCUUGACUGCGAGAGCGACGGUUCGAGCAGGUACGAAAGUAGGACUUAGUGAUCCGGUGGCAUAAAGUGGGAUUGCCAUCGCUCAACGGAUAAAAGCUACCCUGGGAUAACAGGCUUAUCACUCCCAAGAGUUCACAUCGACGGAGUGGUUUGGCACCUCGAUGUCGGCUCAUCGCAUCCUGGGGCUGAAGUAGGUCCCAAGGGUUGGGCUGUUCGCCCAUUAAAGCGGUACGCGAGCUGGGUUCAGAACGUCGUGAGACAGUUCGGUCCCUAUCCGGCGUGGGCGUAGGAUAUUUGAGAGGAGCUGUCCUUAGUACGAGAGGACCGGGAUGGACUGACCUCUGGUGUAUCGGUUGAGUAUCAGACUCAUGGCCGAGUAGCCAAGUCGGGACGGGAUAAACGCUGAAGGCAUCUAAGCGUGAAGCCCCCCUCAAGAUGAGAUAUCCCAUACGCAAGUAGUAAGACCCCUUGAAGACGACGAGGUAGAUAGGGCAGAGGUGGAAGCGCGGUAACGCGUGGAGCUGACUGUCACUAAUAGGUCGAGGGCUUGACCU